rnacentral:rRNA from 1 species
AUACGGAGGGUGCAAGCGUUACUCGGAAUCGCUGGGCGUAAAGCGCGCGCAGGCGGUCUUUUAAGUUGGAUGUGAAAGCCUACGGCUCAACCGUAGAACUGCAUCCAAAACUAUUAGACUAGAGUGUGGGAGAGGAAGAUGGAAUUAGUUGUGUAGGGGUAAAAUCCGUAGAGAUAACUAGGAAUACCAAAAGCGAAGGCAAUCUUCUGGAACACUACUGACGCUGAGGCGCGAAAGCGUGGGGAGCAAACAGGAUUAGAAACCCUAGUAGUCC